AAAAGCUCGUAGUUGGAUCUGUGUCCCGCACCGUCGGUUCACCGCCUGUCGGUGUUCAACUGGUGUGUAUGCGGGACGUCCUGCCGGUGGCGGUCCGGUUCCCCGUGGGUACGUAGGGGCGUCCUUGCGCACGCUUGCGUCGUCCCCGAAGGCCUGCGGGUGUAUCCGGCCGCCUUUUCAAUCCCGUCGCGGUGCCCUUCACUGAGUGUCGAGGCGGGCCGGCACGUUUACUUUGAACAAAUUAGAGUGCUUUAAGCAGGCCCUGUCCCGCCUGUAUGUUGUGUGCAUGGAAUAAUGGAAUAGGACCUCGGUUCUAUUUUGUUGGUUUUCGGAAUCUGAGGUAAUGAUCAAUGGGGACAGGCGGGGGCAUUCGUAUUGCGACGUUAGAGGUGAAAUUCUUGGAUCGUCGCAAGACGGACCGAAGCGAAAGCAUUUGCCAAGUAUGUUCUCGUCGAUCAAGAACGAAAGUUAGAGGUUCGAAGGCGAUCAGAUACCGCCCUAGUUCUAACCAUAAACUAUGCCUGCCAGCGAUCCGCCGAAGUUCCUCCGAUGACUCGGCGGGCAGCUUCCGGGAAACCAGAGCUUUUGGGUUCCGGGGGAAGUAUGGUUGCAAAGCUGAAACUUAAAGGAAUUGACGGAAGGGCACCACCAGGAGUGGAGCCUGCGGCUUAAUUUGACUCAACACGGGAAAACUCACCAGGCCCGGACACCGGAAGGAUUGACAGAUUGAGAGCUCUUUCUUGAUUCGGUGGGUGGUGGUGCAUGGCCGUUCUUAGUUGGUGGAGCGAUUUGUCUGGUUAAUUCCGAUAACGAACGAGACUCUAGCCUACUAACUAGGCGUACCCGGUAUCCACAAUCGUGCUACCGGCGGUCAAAUUUCUUCUUAGAGGGACAGGCGGCUUCUAGCCGCAAGAGACUGAGCAAUAACAGGUCUGUGAUGCCCUUAGAUGUCCUGGGCCGCACGCGCGCUACACUGAAGGAAUCAGCGUGUCUUCCCUGUCCGAAAGGACCGGGUAACCCGCUGAACCUCCUUUGUGCUAGGGAUUGGGGCUUGCAAUUGUUCCCCAUGAACGAGGAAUUCCCAGUAAGCGCGAGUCAUAAGCUCGCGUUGAUUACGUCCCUGCCCUUUGUACACACCGCCCGUCGCUACUACCGAUUGAAUGAUUUAGUGAGGUCUUCGGACUGG
rnacentral:rRNA from 1 species